rnacentral:rRNA from 1 species
CCUACGGGAGGCAGCAGUGGGGAAUUUUGGACAAUGGGCGCAAGCCUGAUCCAGCAAUGCCGCGUGAGUGAAGAAGGCCUUCGGGUUGUAAAGCUCUUUUGUCAGGGAAGAAACGGUGGGAGCUAAUAUCUCCUACUAAUGACGGUACCUGAAGAAUAAGCACCGGCUAACUACGUGCCAGCAGCCGCGGUAAUACGUAGGGUGCAAGCGUUAAUCGGAAUUACUGGGCGUAAAGCGUGCGCAGGCGGUUUUGUAAGUCUGUCGUGAAAGCCCCGGGCUCAACCUGGGAAUUGCGAUGGAGACUGCAAGGCUUGAAUCUGGCAGAGGGGGGUAGAAUUCCACGUGUAGCAGUGAGAUGCGUAGAGAUGUGGAGGAACACCGAUGGCGAAGGCAGCCCCCUGGGUCAAGAUUGACGCUCAUGCACGAAAGCGUGGGGAGCAAACAGGAUUAGAUACCCUGGUAGUCCACGCCCUAAACGAUGUCUACUAGUUGUCGGGUUUUAAUUAACUUGGUAACGCAGCUAACGCGUGAAGUGACCGCCUGGGGAGUACGGUCGCAAGAUUAAAACUCAAAGUAGAAGUUGACCGGCGUAGAGACGUACGACGACGACGACGACGGAGGGAGGAGG